rfam:Secondary endosymbiont of Ctenarytaina eucalypti chromosome, complete genome.
UCACUGACAGAUUGUGUUAGCAUCUCUAAAAAGAGACUUUUCAGAAUUAUGUUACCGUUAAAAUUUUUAGGAGUGCAUAGUGGCUCGUAUAGCAGGUAUUAACAUUCCUGAU